rnacentral:rRNA from 1 species
CAGUAGCCGCGGUAAAACGGAGGGUGCAAGCGUUAAUCGGAAUUACUGGGCGUAAAGCGCACGCAGGCGGUCUGUCAAGUCAGAUGUGAAAUCCCCGGGCUUAACCUGGGAACUGCAUUUGAAACUGGCAGGCUAGAGUCUUGUAGAGGGGGGUAGAAUUCCAGGUGUAGCGGUGAAAUGCGUAGAGAUCUGGAGGAAUACCGGUGGCGAAGGCGGCCCCCUGGACAAAGACUGACGCUCAGGUGCGAAAGCGUGGGGAGCAAACAGGAUUAGAUACCCCGGUAGUCCCUGUCUCUUAUAC